rnacentral:rRNA from 1 species
CCUACGGGUGGCAGCAGUCGAGAAUCAUUCACAAUGGGGGAAACCCUGAUGGUGCGACGCCGCGUGAGGGAUGAAGGUCUUCGGAUCGUAAACCUCUGUCAGCAGGGAAGAACGGUCACUGUGCUAAUCAGCAGUGAAUUGACGGUACCUGCAAAGGAAGCACCGGCUAACUCCGUGCCAGCAGCCGCGGUAAUACGGAGGGUGCGAGCGUUAAUCGGCAUUACUGGGCGUAAAGCGCUCGUAGGCGGUAUGUCAAGUCAAGGGUGAAAUCCCCGCGCUCAACGUGGGAACUGCCUUUGAAACUGGCAGACUGGAGUGUGUGAGAGGAUAGUGGAAUUCCAGGUGGAGGAGUGAAAUGCGUAGAUAUCAGGAGGAAUACCGUUAGCGAAGGCGGCAAUCUGGCUGGAAACUGACGCUGAGGUGCGAAAGCGUGGGUAGCAAACAGGAUUAGAUACCCCUGUAGUC